CUAAGCUUGACAUCCUUUUGACCGAUGCCUAAUCGCAUCUUUCCCUUCGGGGACAGAAGUGACAGGUGGUGCAUGGUUGUCGUCAGCUCGUGUCGUGAGAUGUUGGGUUAAGUCCCGCAACGAGCGCAACCCUUGCCUUUAGUUGCCAGCAUUAAGUUGGGCACUCUAGAGGGACUGCCAGGGAUAACCUGGAGGAAGGUGGGGAUGACGUCAAAUCAUCAUGCCCCUUAUGCUUAGGGCUACACACGUGCUACAAUGGGUGGUACAGAGGGCAGCCAAGUCGUGAGGCCGAGCUAAUCCCUUAAAGCCAUUCUCAGUUCGGAUUGUAGGCUGAAACUCGCCUACAUGAAGCUGGAGUUACUAGUAAUCGCAGAUCAGAAUGCUGCGGUGAAUG
rnacentral:rRNA from 1 species